rnacentral:sRNA from 1 species
GAUACCAGGGUCAAAAGGUUAUGCGUUUCAUGCUUGCAUGAAAAAGCGUGACUUUGGGACCCGCAAAACAUGAGAAAGUAGCCCGAAUAGGGAGGGAUUUCGAAUGUUUUUAGGAUUGCGUGAGCAUGAAAUGCGGAGCAAUCCGU